UACGGGGGGGGCAAGCGUUGUUCGGAAUUAUUGGGCGUAAAGAGCUCGUAGGCGGCUUGUCGCGUCGGUUGUGAAAGCCCGGGGCUUAACCCCGGGUCUGCAGUCGAUACGGGCAGGCUAGAGUUCGGUAGGGGAGAUCGGAAUUCCUGGUGUAGCGGUGAAAUGCGCAGAUAUCAGGAGGAACACCGGUGGCGAAGGCGGAUCUCUGGGCCGAUACUGACGCUGAGGAGCGAAAGCGUGGGGAGCGAACAGG
rnacentral:rRNA from 1 species